CAGUCGCCGCGGUAAUACGUAGGUGGCAAGCGUUGUCCGGAAUUAUUGGGCGUAAAGCGCGCGCAGGCGGAUAGGUCAGUCUGUCUUAAAAGUUCGGGGCUUAACCCCGUGAUGAGAUGGAAACUGCCAAUCUAGAGUAUCGGAGAGGAAAGUGGAAUUCCUAGUGUAGCGGUGAAAUGCGUAGAUAUUAGGAAGAACACCAGUGGCGAAGGCGACUUUCUGGACGAAAACUGACGCUGAGGCGCGAAAGCCAGGGGAGCGAACGGGAUUAGAUACCCCUGUAGUCCCUGUCUCUUAUACA
rnacentral:rRNA from 1 species